UACGGAGGUGGCAAGCGUUGUCCGGAUUUACUGGGCGUAAAGGGUGCGUAGGCGGCCAUUUAAGUCAGAUGUGAAAUACCCGAGCUUAACUUGGGUGCUGCAUUUGAAACUGGGUGUCUAGAGUGCAGGAGAGGUAAGUGGAAUUCCUAGUGUAGCGGUGAAAUGCGUAGAGAUUAGGAAGAACACCAGUGGCGAAGGCGACUUACUGGACUGUAACUGACGCUGAGGCAUGAAAGCGUGGGGAGCAAACAGG
rnacentral:rRNA from 1 species